AAGUCGUAACAAGGUUUCCGUAGGUGAACCUGCGGAAGGAUCAUUACAAUAAUGGACUCUGUCCAGUACACUCUCGUGUACCCUCUGUGAACCGUCUGGUUUCUUUGGCGACGUCUCACGACUCGUCAAACUCAAACUCUGAUAAUCUGAUAAUGUCUGAGUUUUAUGAAAUACAUAAAAACUUUCAACAACGGAUCUCUUGGUUCCA
rnacentral:misc_RNA from 1 species